rnacentral:rRNA from 1 species
UACGAAGGGGGCUAGCGUUGCUCGGAAUCACUGGGCGUAAAGCGCACGUAGGCGGAUGUGUCAGUCAGGGGUGAAAUCCCGGGGCUCAACCUCGGAACUGCCUUUGAUACAGCACGUCUCGAGUCCGGAAGAGGUGGGUGGAAUUCCUAGUGUAGAGGUGAAAUUCGUAGAUAUUAGGAAGAACACCGGUGGCGAAGGCGGCUCACUGGCCCGGUACUGACGCUGAGGUGCGAAAGCGUGGGGAGCAAACAGG